rnacentral:lncRNA from 1 species
AUGCUCAUGAACACAUUUAACAAGGGACACAGGCUCUGGAGAAUUGAGGCAGCAUCCCACGAGAUUCAUUGUUCUCUUCCUGACCUUUCAGAACCCCAACUUAUUUGCCACAGCAUGCAAGGAAGACCUUCCAAUGCAGAUACCACGGAAAGGAUGAGCCCUUUGCAUCUGACAUGUCUACUCCUAGGAGUAAUUCUCUUUUUGGGCAAUUGUAUUCACCUCUAUUGGAUUACACAUCUUCUGCAAGAUAUUUUCUCAUUCUAGACUAACAAUCUAAGGAACUAGAAACCUAUCAUAAAUUUCUUCUGGAAAUGCAACAUGAAGAUGAGAUCAGUCACAUCUAUAUCAUAUAGUGAUCAGUAUUAAAUGUAAUCACACAGACAUAAUUUUAACAGAAUAGUGCUCAAUAUUUCUCUUAUUAUGUUAAGGAUGUGCCAUUACUCUCAUGAAAAAGCAAUAAUAAGUACAUUAGUAAUGAGUUGUACUGCCAAUUGAUAAAGAUGUUAAUUGUUAUAAUAUGUAUAAAAGUUC